UGAGACGAGAAGCUCCCUUAAAUGUCCUUGAGUUCUUGUAUCUGUUCUCUUUUUGUCCGGAUCUCCUGGGUUUCUUCCACUGGCCACGGUGAUUCAGAAAGGCAUUCCUAGAAUCUUGUGCCAUGGCCAUUUCCUCAUCAACUGAAAAAUAAUCCAAACAACACAAGAAUUCUGUAAGAAUAUGCUGAUUUCUUAUGAACUGUGGCUGUGCUGUGAGAACUGUGAGCUGGCCUGAUCCUCCUGAUGCUGCCUGUGGUACAGACAAAGCAGAAAAAUGCUUGCUGCCCACAUAACUGGACAUCUUCAGAACAUGACCAUGCUGUUGGAGGCUUGGAGAUUAUUUGAAGAAGGAUGGAGAAACAGAGAAAAAAAACCAAAUUAAAACCCCAUUAAAUACUUGUUAUUGCUAAUUGUUCAGAAGAAAUGUGGACUGUUUGUAUUAGAUGAUUUCAUUUUAUUUAUAAGAUAUUUAUAUAGUGAUAAAUUUAUGCAGAGCUUCUCGCUGCACAGAGAAAAAUACUUAUUUAACAACAAAGCAAAGCAGUCUUGAUUUUAGUAAUAAAAAUUUAUCUCCUUUUUUCUUUUUUUCCCUUUUUUUUUCAAUAAAAGAGAUCUAGGGAAAUAGGCAGCUGAAACCUUCAGAAUUUUUGUUGUACUGUAGAAGAGAUAGCAUUUGAAGGACUCUGUUCUCAGGCUUAUCUGUUUCUCUCACCUGAUGGUCUUAAGCUAAAGCUGGCUGCACUUGCUUGUACAGGGAGAGCUGCUCGGAUCUUUUGUGUAAGUUGGCUGGAGGCCAGAACAGUAGGUUGGUCUCUGACAGUCUCAGCUUAAGAAAAAGAAGAUCUUGGAGACAGGCUGAGAAUGCAAUGCCCGAAGUAUUACAUAGACAGGAAUUCAUCUCACAUCCUCUUUAGAAUCCCAGCCAGAACACCUGUGAUCUGCAAACUAAACUCUCUCCUUUCCUGAGGCAUUGAAAAGCCAGAUGAUUCCCUUCAAGCAUCCUUGGUUUUGAAAGAGAAGCGCAGCAGCAAUAUUCCUUUGGCAAAUUAGUCUGCCAACUACCUCAUUCACCUCUCUCUUACACCCUUGAUUACUAAUCUCAGAAAAUUUACGAAACCAUUGCUUUGUUUAAACUCAUUACAAAUCCAAGGCUAAAUUUUCUGUGCUGUAAGAGAAGCAGAAUUUAACAUCUGGAGCUGUAGAUUAUUUACAAACCUGCAGAAAGUGUGCAUAAGGAGGAUAUGAGUGCUGUGAAAAAAAGGCAGGACAGUCUGUUUCAACAGUUGAUCAUGCAUCACAAAUGCAAAUGUCUGUGGGUUUUUUCAGAUGGAUUAAUCUGGUUUAAUGAAAGUAUUCUCUGAGCCCCAGCAAAAUACCUGAACUGAUGGGACCAGUAGCCCACUUGCUUUUCCUGUCUUGCUUCAUCCUAGCUGGAAUAGAAAAGUGAGAGCAGCACUAGCUAACAAGGACUUCAGUAGCACUCUGUAUUAUUUCAUAAUAACUAAUGUCUGGCUUUAUAUUAUAUGAGCACAGAGCUCAUAUUACUUUGCCUUCCUAUUUCCUCACAGAUACUGAAUUGCACAAUGUUUUGGCAUUGCACUGUUUUUGUUUUUGCUUUAUUAGCGUGUGAAAAACCAUUAGCACCUUACUCUAAGAAUAAUCUAUAACCUAAUGCAGGUCUGGAUUAGGCAUGAGGAGCAGGCUGCCCUUGCAGAUGAUUUCAGUAUCUGAAAGCACAUCUUGAACAGGAAAUGUUUGAGUUUUAGCAGCUUGAAGGUAACUUGAAUUGUGUGCUCAUAUGCAAACAAAACCUUUCCUCUGUUAAAGCCUCAGAUGUAAAUGCCCGGGGAUGUUACACAAAACAGGAAGUUUGUUUAUUUUACAUUUCUGGCUGCAUAUGACCUGUCUUAUGCUAAGCAUCCAAAUUUUCAGGAUAGAGCAAAAUCUGAGAGCCCAAAUUACAGUGUUUGGCCUGGCAUCUAAGAGAGAUUUAUUUCCUGUCCAUGCACUGGUGGGUAAAUCCUUCUCCUGCUGGGCUGAUGCACCCCAGGCCAGCUCGGUGCGAGGCUUCAGCUGAUCUGCAGAGCCCUGUGGACAGGACUGGCCUGUCUGCCCCAGCCUGGUCUGCUGGAGCUGAAACCUGUAGUGCGAGAGUUGUGAAACAUUGUCCCAGGCAGGGUUUUUACCAAGCUGUAUCAAGAAGCAUCUGCAGUUUACAGUGAAAACCUGGGCUGUCCUCUGAGCUCUCCUGACACUCCAUAUGGAGAAAACGUUCGAAAGACUGAUAAUCUGAGGAUCAAGCUUAGCCCAGUGUCAGCGAGUGUGCUUUCAAAGAGCUGAAGGAAAGAAUGGUUGAGGCCUCAAGCCAAUGUGCCCCAAGGCUGGCUUUGGCAGCUGGAACCCUUAAAACAAGAGCACGUGGGGAUCUCCUGCUGCAGCUGGGACCCAAAUCUGGAGGGCAUGAAGAUCAUCCCAUCAAGACUGGAAGGGCUGAGGUACAGGAUGCUUCUGCCUAAAAGGAACUCCCUGCCUGCUACAAGUGUAGCCCAGUUGGGCCAGGUGAGCAGCCUUAAUUCUCAGUACACAGAUGUGUUACAAUCACUGCACAUUUGCAUUGGGAUGGGUGUUUUUGUUUUAUUCAGAAAAUGGAUUUUUGAAGUGAGUUUAAGCUGAUUUUAAAAUGGAAAAGAUAACAUGGUAGAUGUGCGCUUAAGUACAAAAUAAAAGCAAAUAAAUACUUCUGAAGAACAUAGACACGUACUCAAAGCCCAAUUACUUAUGGGUGUAAUUGCUGCUACCUGUCUCAUUGAAGACUUGCACAGUGUAAGCACAGAAGAAACUGAUCUGUGAAAAUGAUGUUUUAACUGCCCUUUUUUUCAUUCUGGUUGCCCUUUCUAUAAUGUAAAACAGUAAAAUCUCCUAUAAUAUAGUAUAUAAAACUAUAGCAUUUUAAGUCAGAGGUCAAUUCAAGUUUUAAACAAAUACCUGUAGUGUUUUUCAAACAGAAAAUGGUCUAAAAUACAGUACAACUUAAUAAAAUUGUUUCUGAUCA